rnacentral:rRNA from 1 species
GACGAAGGUGGCAACCGUUGCUCGGAUUCACUGGGCAUAAAGCGCGCGUAGGUGGCUUAGCAGGUCAACGGUGAAAAACCCCGGCACAACCGGGGAACUGCCGUUGAAACCGCUUUGCUUGAGGGCGGGAGAGGAGAGUGGAACUCUUGGUGUAGCGGUGAAAUGCGUAGAUAUCAAGAGGAACGCCGGUGGCGAAAGCGGCUCUCUGGACCGUCCCUGACACUGAGGCGCGAAAGCUAGGGGAGCAAACAGG